GCACCUGUAGCUCAACAGGACAGAGCAACUCCCUUCUAAGGAGUAGGUUGUGAGUUCGAGUCUCGCCAGGUGCA
rnacentral:tRNA from 1 species